rnacentral:rRNA from 1 species
UGCGUAGGCUGCGCGGAAAGUUGGGUGUGAAAGCCCUCAGCUCAACUGAGGAAUUGCACUCAAAACUACCGUGCUCGAGGGAGACAGAGGUAAGCGGAACUCAAGGUGGAGCGGUGAAAUGCGUUGAUAUCUUGAGGAACACCGGUGGCGAAGGCGGCUUACUGGGUCUCUUCUGACGCUGAGGCACGAAAGCUAAGGUAGCAAACG